AGAAUCAACGCUGGCGGCGUGCCUAACACAUGCAAGUCGUACGAGAAAGGGGAGCAAUCCCUGAGUAAAGUGGCGACCGGGUGAGUAACACGUGACUAACCUACCCUCGAGUGGGGAAUAACUCCGGGAAACCGGAGCUAAUACCGCAUAACAUCGCAAGAUCAAAGCAGCAAUGCGCUUGAGGAGGGGGUCGCGGCGGAUUAGCUUGUUGGCGGGGUAAUGGCCCACCAAGGCGACGAUCCGUAGCUGGUCUGAGAGGACGACCAGCCACACUGGGACUGAGACACGGCCCAGACUCCUACGGGAGGCAGCAGUGGGGAAUCUUGCACAAUGGGCGAAAGCCUGAUGCAGCGACGCCGCGUGAGGGAAGAAGGCUUUCGGGUUGUAAACCCCUUUCAGGAAGGACGAAGCCACUCGGGUUAAUAGCCCAGAGGGUGACGGUACUUCCAGAAGAAGCCCCGGCUAACUACGCGCCAGCAGCCGCGGU
rnacentral:rRNA from 1 species